rnacentral:lncRNA from 1 species
GGCCUCAUGUUUCUGGGCCUGUGGUACAGCAAAAACACCACGAAAGAAAUGAGCACGGGAGGAAAGCUCCUCGUGUUACAGAAACUACAAAACACGAUAUGUGGUCAAGAGGCGGGGACAAGAUACACCCUGCAAAGGGGUGCUUACAGAGACUUGUUUCUACCACGGAGUCACCACCUCCUAGGAAUGCCGUAAGGGUAUGAGCCAACCAGUGGAUUAAUCCACUCCUGAGGUCUUCAAGAAUCAAACGCAUUCUGAACGCUGCUGCCACUAGAGACCAAGCUUUCAAUAUAUGAGCUUUUCCUGGUGACACUUUGUGGCUUGACAGCUGGAAGACAAACACUGCCAUGGCCAGGUAUUGCAGGCUGGGCUGGUAACACAGAGAAAGAGAUGGAGAAAGCAGUGGUGUUGCAGUAACACUGAGGUGUUGGCAAGUCAAGCUGUGAAAGUUUGACAGCUGAAGAAGAAGCAACUGAGCAACUUGAGAGCAGCCGGGCAGGAAGAAAAGCCACGGAGGUAGAGAGAUACUAAGAGAGGGUGGAGAGCUAAGGCAAAAUGACAAAGGAUAUAAAGAACCAGACAAGAGAAACUGCAGACUUUGGUCAUAGAAGAGUUCCAGAGAGUUGUCAAGUCUUGUGGGACAAGGGUCUCAGACACCCCAGGUCAAGAGCUAGCUGCUGUCAAGAACUGAGGAAUUCCUGCUGCCCAGGUCUGCCUAGAACUCUCAGUUGAGGGCUGAGGAACCUUGACUUCCUAGGUCUAUGUAAGAGCUGUUAUAUCUGUAGGCCUACAGGUUUUGCUAUCUGAGGCUUGUGUGUGAACUGUAGCAACAGAGGAUACCACCCGCUGCAGCUCCUACCUGCUUACUGCUGUGGCUCACUGAGGUCAAACACCCAGGAAAACAAGCUGACAAGGACCAGUGCUUGAAGAGUGUUUCCUUAUCUACCCAUGAUUCUAUCUGGAUAGAGCAAAGGGCCCACGCUAGAUGAUUGGAAACACCCAUACAUUCAAAAUUCAUCUCUUCUGAGACAUAGAACAAUCCCUUAAUUUGGAUCUUCUAUUUAAAAAGAAAGCCGAAUAUUGUGGUGCAUGACUGUAAAACCACACUGCUGAUAACGUCUCCAUCAGAGUGCACUGCUCAUCUGAUCUCAGACUUUCUGCAGAUGUGUAGGUCUCCACACAGCUGUCAGUCAAACAGCCAGUGAGAUUAAGG